rnacentral:rRNA from 1 species
UGAGCAAUCUGCCCUUCUCAUCGGAAUAAGCGUUGGAAACGACGUCUAAUGCCGAAUACGACCUCCUUUCGCAUGAUCGGAGGUGGAAAGCUCCGGCGGAGAGGGAUGAGCUCGCGGCCUAUCAGCUAGUUGGUGUGGGUAAUGGCCCACCAAGGCGACGACGGGUAGCCGGCCUGAGAGGGUGACCGGCCACACUGGGACUGAGAUACGGCCCAGACUCCUACGGGAGCAG